GACGAACGCUGGCGGCGUGCUUAAUACAUGCAAGUCGAGCGAACAGACGAUGCGUUUGCGGCACUGACGUUAGGGGCGGGCGGGUGAGAAACACGUGGAUAACCCACCUAUAAGAGUGGGAUAACUUCGAGAAACCGGAGCUAAUACCGGAGAAUAUAUUGAACCGCAUGGUUGGAUAGUGAAAUACGGUUUUGCUGGCACUUAUAGCUGGAUCCUCGCCGCUUUAGGAAGUUGGUAAGGUAACGGCUUACGAAGGCAACGAUGCGUAGCCGACCUGCGAGGGUGAUCGGCCACACUGGAACUGGACCGCGGUCCAGAGUCCUACGGGAGGCAGCAGUCGGGAAUCUUCCGCAAUGGGCGGAAGCCUGACGGAGCAGCGCCACGUGAGUGAUGAAAGUCUUCGGAGCGGAAAACUCUGUUAUUGGGGAAGAACCAAUUUGUAAGUAACUAUGCACGUCUUGACGGUACCUAGUCAGAAAGCCACGGCUAACUACGUG
rnacentral:rRNA from 1 species